AAGUCGUAACAAGGUUUCCGUAGGUGAACCUGCGGAAGGAUCAUUACCGAGUAAGGGCCUCUCAGGCCCGAUCUCCCACCCUUUGUGUACCUACCUUUGUCGCUUUGGCGGGCCCGCUGGGGCAACCCACCGUCGGCUUCGGCUGGCGAGCGCCCGCCAGAGACCAUCCAAACUCUGUUUAUCAGUGUCGUCUGAGAAAAACACAAUAGUUAAA
rnacentral:misc_RNA from 1 species